CGUGGCUAGAUUAUAGAAUACCCGUCCAUUUAUGAUACUGUUUAUUUUGGGGGGAUACGGUGAUACGCAGUGAAUGAAAUGACGUAAUUAUUCGAGUGUUUGGGUAAAUAUUAAGUUUCAAUGAUACGGGGAUACGGUGAUACGCAGUGAAGGAAAUUACGUAAUUAUUCUAAUGUUUCGGUAUCAAAAUAAACGGGGAAUCGUUAAUCAAAUAAUUAAUCUAUAUUUUCAAUAAUAUAGGGUUAUAAAUAUAUUGUAUUUCUCGUUCUCAAUAUACCCCGCACAAAACAUUACUCAUAUAUUGUAUUCCUCACGUUCUCAACUAAACCCCGCACAAAAUAUUACUCAUAUAUUUUAUUUCUCGGUCUCAAUAAACCCCGCACAAAAUAUUACUCAUAUAUUGUAUUUCUCGUUCUCAAUAAACCCCGCACAAAAUAUUACUCGUAACAAAAUAUUACUCAUAUAUUGUAUUUCUCGUUCUCAAUAAACCCCGCACAAAAUAUUACUCAUAUAUUGUAGUUCUCGUUCUCAAUAAACCCCGCACAAAAUAUUACUCGUAUAUGUGUAUUUCUCGUUCUCAAUAUACCCCGCACAAAACAUUACUCAUAUAUUGUAUUCCUCACGUUCUCAACUAAACCGCGCACAAAAUAUUACUCAUAUAUUGUAUUUCUCGUUCUCAAUAAACCCCGCACAAAAUAUUACUCAUAUAUUUUAUUUCUCGGUCUCAAUAAACCCCGCACAAAAUAUUACUCAUAUAUUGUAUUUCUCGUUCUCAAUAAACUCCGCACAAAAUAUUACUCGUAUAUUGUAUUUCUCAUUCUCAAUAAACCCCGCACAAAAUAUAACUUAUAUAUUGUAUUUCUCGUUCUCAAUAAACCCCGCACAAAAUAUUACUCAUAUAUUGUAUUUCUCGUUCUCAAUAAACCCCGCACAAAAUAUUACUCGUAUAUUGUAUUUCUCGUUCUCAAUCAGUACCCCGCACAAAACAUUACUCAUAUAUUGUAUUCCUCAGUCCUCACGUUCUCAACUAAACCGCGCACAAAAUAUUACUCAUAUAUUGUAUUUCUCGUUCUCAAUAAACCCCGCACAAAAUAUUACUCAUAUAUUGUAUUUCUCGUUCUCAAUAUACCCCGCACAAAAUAUUACUCAUAUAUUGUAUUUCUCACGUUCUCAACUAAACCCUGCACAAAAUAUUACUCUGAGUGCAUAACAUCGCAAACAUAUUAUUCACCUGAGUACACAACACCAACACAGAAAAAAAUUCAAAAUAUUACUCAUUAGUAUAUAUAAAUUUUGCAUAUCAAAUGAGCACGAUUUGACUGCGUAGCCCCGUAUCAUUGAAAAAUAAUAGUUACCCAUUCUCCUCUUAAACUACUCGAAUAAUUACGUCAUUUUAAUGACUGCGUAUCCCCGUAUCCCCGUAUCAUUGAAAAAUAAUAGUUACCCAUUCUCCUUUUAAACUACUCAAAUAAUUACGUCAUUUUAAUGACUGCGUAUCCCCGUAUCAUUGAAAAAUAAUAGUUACCCAUUCUCCUCUUAAACUACUCGAAUAAUUACGUCAUUUUAAUGACUGCGUAUCCCCGUAUCCCCGUAUCAUUAAAAAAUAAUAGUUACCCAUUCUCCUUUUAAACUACUCAAAUAAUUACGUCAUUUUAAUGACUGCGUAUCCCCGUAUCCCCGUAUCAUUGAAAAAUAAUAGUUACCCAUUCUCCUCUUAAACUACUCGAAUAAUUACGUCAUUUUAGUUACUGCGUAUCCCCGUAUCCCCGUAUCAUUGAAAAAUAACAGUUACCCAUUCUCCUCUUAAACUACUCGAAUAAUUACGUCAUUUUAAUGACUGCGUAUCCCCGUAUCCCCGUAUCAUUGAAAAAUAAUAGUUACCCAUUCUCCUCUUAAACUACUCGAAUAAUUACGUCAUUUUAAUGACUGCGUAUUCCCGUAUCAUUGAAAAAUAAUAGUUACCCAUUCUCCUCUUAAACUACUCGAAUAAUUACGUCAUUUUAAUGACUGCGUAUCCCCGUAUCCCCGUAUCAUUGAAAAAUAAUAGUUACCCAUUCUCCUUUUAAACUACUCAAAUAAUUACGUCAUUUUAAUGACUGCGUAUCCCCGUAUCCCCGUAUCAUUGAAAAAUAAUAGUUACCCAUUCUCCUCUUAAACUACUCGAAUAAUUACGUCAUUUUAAUGACUGCGUAUCCCCGUAUCAUUGAAAUAUAAUAGUUACCCAUUCUCCUUUUAAACUACUCGAAUAAUUACGUCAUUUUAAUGACUGCGUAUCCCCGUAUCCCCCAAAACCAAACACUAUCAAAAUUCAAAAGUGGCCGGGUAUUCUAUAAUCGCUCCGCCGACGUUGUCUUUGGAACCGUCCCAAAAGCCGAAAGCCAUUGCUAACAUUGGUGCAUGGACUUCGGCUUUUCAAAUUUUUGUAGGGGUGUACACUGCCAAAUAUCCAAUGGAGGCCCCAGCAUUGAUGAAAUAUAGUGAAGUUGUCCGGGAUUUGGCCGUGCGAGGGGCUGACUGGCGCUUUUAUGACUCACAAUUUCGUCUCUUGCGUCAAUCUAAUCCGACCGAGUUGCCAUGGGGGUUUACGCAUUGGGAACUUUGGAUCCGUGCACAGAAUUUUAAUAAUGCGCGUUUUUCAAAAUCUCAACCGCCUGUGCGCAACAACUUGCCCUCUUCAAUUGCCGGGCCCUUUGUUCCCAGGGGGUUUUGUCGCAGGUUUCACCGUGGCGAUCACUGCCCUGGUUGCAAUUAUAAACAUAAUUGUUACAAGUGUGGUGUAAUUCACCCAGCCCUACGGUGUAAUUUUCGUUCCUCACAGCACACCUCUGCCCCGACCUCGGCCAAAUCUCGUCCUUCCAACACCGGUUCGAAUUGAUAAUCUUCAACCUUUAUUAUGUGGAUAUGAUCCGGGAUUGACAUCUAUUUUGUAUACUGGUUUUAAGUUUGGUUUUUCUCUUCAUUUUGAAGGAACGCGAACCUCAUUUUUUGCAAAUAAUUUAAUUUCUGCGCAAC
rnacentral:lncRNA from 1 species